GACNUUCGGCUGCAUGGCUUGAGGGUGGAAAAGGUUUANUGGUGCAGGANGGGCCCGCGGCNUAUCAGCUUGUUGGUGGGGUAAUGGCCUACCAAGGCGACGACGGGUAGCCGACCUGAGAGGGUGACCGGCCACACUGGGANUGAGACACGGCCCAGACUCCUACGGGAGGCAGCAGUUUGGGGAAUAUUGCACAAUGGGCCGAAAGCCUGAUGCAGCGACGCCGCGUGAGGGAUGACGGCCUUCGGGUUGUAAACCUCUUUCAGCAGGGACGAAGCGAAAGUGACGGUACCUGCAGAAGAAGCACCGGCCAACUACGUGCCAGCAGCCGCGGUAAUACGUAGGGUGCAAGCGUUGUCCGGAAUUACUGGGCGUAAAGAGCUCGUAGGCGGUUUGUCGCGUCGUCUGUGAAAACUCGAGGCUCAACCUCGAGCUUGCAGGCGAUACGGGCAGACUUGAGUACUGCAGGGGAGACAUGGAAUUCCUGGUGUAGCGGUGAAAUGCGCAGAUAUCAGGAGGAACACCGGUGGCGAAGGCGGGUCUCUGGGCAGUAACUGACGCUGAGGAGCGAAAGCGUGGGUAGCGAACAGGAUUAGAUACCCUGGUANGUCCACGCCGUAAACGGUGGGCCGCUAGGUGUGGGUUUCCUUCCACGGGAUCCGUGCCGUAGCUAACGCAU
rnacentral:rRNA from 1 species